UGGGGAAUAUUGCACAAUGGGCGCAAGCCUGAUGCAGCCAUGCCGCGUGUGUGAAGAAGGCCUUCGGGUUGUAAAGCACUUUCAGCGGGGAGGAAGGCGUUAAGGUUAAUAACCUUGGCGAUUGACGUUACCCGCAGAAGAAGCACCGGCUAACUCCGUGCCAGCAGCCGCGGUAAUACGGAGGGUGCAAGCGUUAAUCGGAAUUACUGGGCGUAAAGCGCACGCAGGCGGUCUGUCAAGUCAGAUGUGAAAUCCUCGGGCUCAACCUGGGAACUGCAUCUGAUACUGGCAAGCUUGAGUCUCGUAGAGGGGGGUAGAAUUCCAGGUGUAGCGGUGAAAUGCGUAGAGAUCUGGAGGAAUACCGGUGGCGAAGGCGGCCCCCUGGACGAAGACUGACGCUCAGGUGCGAAAGCGUGGGGAGCAAACAGG
rnacentral:rRNA from 1 species